ensembl:lncRNA
CGGGGAUUUUGGGGGAAUUUCCUGGGAAUUUUGGGGGAUUUUUGGGGGAUUUGGGGAAAAAAUCAGCUCGGGGGGGGGUGGAGCUUUCCUAAAUUUUCCCCGACUUUCCUGGAUUUUCCCAGAUUUUCCCCCAGAUUUUCCCAAAUUUCCCCAGAUUUUCUUGAUUUUGCUCCCAAUUUUCCCAGAUUUUCCUGGAUUUCCCCAGAUUUUCUUAAUUUUUCUUCCAUUUUUCUCAGAUUUUGCACGAUUUCCCCAGGUUUUUCCCCCUAUAUUUUCUUGGCUUUUCCCAGAUUUUUAUAAUUUUUCUUGGAUUUUCCCAAAUUCUCCCAGAUUUUCCCCAUUUUUCUUGCAUUUUCCCAGAUUUUCCUGGGUUGCCCAAGAUUUUUUCCAGAUUCUCCUCAGAUUUUCCCCAGAUUUUCUUGGAUUUUCCCAGAUUUUUGUAAAUUUUUUUUUAUUUUCCCAGGUUUUCCAGUUUUUUCCCGAUUUCCCCAUAUUUUCCGAGAUUUCCCUGGUAUUUCCCCAGAUUUUCAUUGUAUUUUUCUAAUAUUUCCCAGAUUUUCUCUUAUUUUCCCAGAUUUUCUUACAUUUCCCAGAUUUUCCUGGGUUUUCCCUUGUUUUUCCCAUGUUUUGCUUAGAUUUUCCCUCGAUUUUCUGAAAUUUUCCCGGAUUUUCCUUGAUUUUUUCCCAGAUUUUUCUGCUUUUUUUUUCCCAAUUUUUUUGCCUUUUUCCCAGAUUUUUUGCUUUUUUUUUCCCAAAUUUUUUGGCGUUUUUCCCAGAUUUUUGGGUUUUGAUUUUUUGGGGUUUUUCCCCAGAUUUUUCUGCUUUUUUUUCCCAGAUUAUUUUGCCUUUUUCCCAGAUUUUUUCGGGGUUUUUUCCCAAAUUUUUUUGCCUUUUCCCCAGAUUUUUUGGGGUUUUUUCCUGGAAUUUUUUUGCCUUUUUCCCAGAUUUUUUUUUCCUUUUCCCAGAUUUUUUGGGCUUUUUUCCCCCCAGAUUUUUUGGGAUUUUUUCCCCAGAUUUUUCUGCCUUUUAACCAUUUUUUUUUGCCUUUUUCCCAUAUUUUUCUGCUUUUUUUUCCCCAGAUUUUUUUGCCUUUUUCCCAGAUUUUUCUGCUUUUUUCCCAGAUUUUCCUUUGCCUUUUUCCCAGAUUUUUUAGGGUUUUUCCCCAGAUUUUUUGGAGUUUUUUCCCAGAUUUUCCUGCUUUUUCCCCCAGAUUUUUUGGAUUUUUUCCCCAGAUUUUCCUGCUUUUUCCCCAGAUUUUCCUGCUUUUUUCCCAGAUUUUCCUGCUUUUUUUUCCCAGAUUUUUUUUUGCCUUUUCCCCAGAUUUUUUUGGGUUUUUCCCAGAUUUUUUGGAGUUGUUUUUCCCAGAUUUUUUGGGGUUUUUUUCCCAGAUUUUUCUGCUUUUUUCCCCCAUUUUUCCCCAUUUUUUCCCCAGCUCCCUCCCCGAAUUCCCCAAAUUUCCCCAAUUCCAGGGCCGGGCCGGGCGUUGCUUGGGAAAGGCUCUGGGGGUUUUUGGGGGGUCCCCCCCCCAACCCGGCCCCUCCUCGUGACCCAAACCCCCAAAUUGCUGCAGCCCAAGCUGACCCCGCAGGAGAAGCUCCGGCUCAGGAUGCAGAAGGCGCUCAACAGGCAGUGUGAGCAUUCCCAAAAAAUCCCCAAAAAAAUCCCCAACAAAAUCCCCAAAAAAUUCCCAAAAAAUUCCCCCAAAAAAUUCCCAAAAAUUCCCAAAAAAUCCCAAAAAUUCCCAAAAAAAU